UUUUACUUCUUUCUUCUUCCUUGCCGUGGCUACUCUCUCUCCUCUCCCUCUCUUACAUUUUCCACCAUUGAAGCUUAUAUUUAACCUUUCAAAACCCUAAAUUACACCACAAAUUCUCUAGUUUCUCAAAUUAAAUCUUGAUUUUGAGUCUUGAAAAGAAGAUUGGAGGAAGGAAAAUUGAAGGAAAUUGAAGAAAAUUGGAGAUAGAAAAGCUUCACCCAAGUUGAAAAAUAGACUGGGAAGGAAGUUAAGGAAAAGUGAGUCAAAGCCUAUAGGUGACUCGUACAAGAUAAGGGAAAAGAUAAGGUAGCAGAGUGAGCUGCUAAGUUGUCAGGAGAGCUACUUUGAGGAUUUUUAUACGGGUAUUGUUUUAUACCCUUGUAAAUUAGUUGAUGUAAAUAUUAUUUUGUUCAUAUGUAUCUAUGUAGUUAAUUGAGCAGUUGUACAUUAAAGUCUGAAAUAAUAUUAUUUUUUAUUUUCUUUCUGUAAAUUGAGACUUGUUUAUGUAAAUUAAAUCAAAAGCAAUGAUGAAGAAUUUUAUUGAACUGUGUUGAGUUGUACAUUUUGAAAUAAGAUUGUGUUGACUUGUGUUGAUUUGAGACUA